CGUUACUUUGAACAUUGCUAUUCGAUGAUUCUCUCAUCACGUUGCCUUUGAAAGAUACGUUACUUUGAACAUUGCUACUCGAUGAUCCUGUCAUCAUGUUGCCUUUGAAAGAUACGUUACUUUGAACAUUGCUAUUCGAUGAUCCUGUCAUCAUGAUGCCUUUGAAAGAUACGUUACUUUGAACAUUGCUAUUCGAUGAUUCUCUCAUCACGUUGCCUUUGAAAGAUACGUUACUUUGAACAUUGCUAUUCGAUGAUUCUCUCAUCACGUUGGCUUUGAAAGAUACUUUACUUUGAACAUUGCUACUCGAUGAUUCUCUCAUCACGUUACCUUUGAAAGAUACGUUACUUUGAACAUUGCUACUCGAUGAUUCUCUCAUCACGUUGCCUUUGAAAGAUACUUUACUUUGAACAUUGCUAUUUGAUGAUCCUGUCAUCACGUUGCCUUUGAAAGAUACGUUACUUUGAACAUUGCUACUCGAUGAUUCUCUCAUCACGUUGCCUUUGAAAGAUACUUUACUUUGAACAUUGCUAUUUGAUGAUUCUGUCAUCACGUUGCCUUUGAAAGAUACUUUACUUUGAACAUUGCUACUCGAUGAUUCUCUCAUCACGUUGCCUUUGAAAGAU